GACAGAGGGUGCAAACGUUGUUCGGAAUUACUGGGCGUAAAGCGCGUGUAGGCGGCUCGGCAAGUCGGAUGUGAAAGCCCUGGGCUUAACCUAGGAAGUGCAUUCGAAACUGCCAGCUUGAGUACCGGAGAGGAUGGUGGAAUUCCCGAAGUAGAGGUGAAAUUCGUAGAUAUCGGGAGGAACACCGGUGGCGAAGGCGACCAUCUGGACGGAUACUGACGCUGAGACGCGAAAGCGUGGGUAGCAAACGAGGU
rnacentral:rRNA from 1 species